UGGGGAAUAUUGGACAAUGGGGGCAACCCUGAUCCAGCAAUGCCGCGUGUGUGAAGAAGGCCUGCGGGUUGUAAAGCACUUUUGGCAGGGAUGAAAAGCACUGGAUUAAUAACCUAGUGUGUUGACCUAACCUGCAGAAGAAGCACCGGCUAACUCUGUGCCAGCAGCCGCGGUAAUACAGAGGGUGCGAGCGUUAAUCGGAAUUACUGGGCGUAAAGGGCGCGUAGGCGGUCGAGUAAGUCGGAUGUGAAAUCCCCGGGCUUAACCUGGGAAUUGCAUUCGAUACUGCUUGGCUAGAGUGUGGAAGAGGGAAGCGGAAUUUCCGGUGUAGCGGUGAAAUGCGUAGAUAUCGGAAGGAACACCAGUGGCGAAGGCGGCUUCCUGGUCCAACACUGACGCUGAGGCGCGAAAGCGUGGGGAGCAAACAGGAUUAGAUACCCCUGUAGUCCCUGAGCGGGC
rnacentral:rRNA from 1 species